CCUACGGAUGGCAGCAGUAGGGAAUUUUGCGCAAUGGGCGAAAGCCUGACGCAGCAACGCCGCGUGAUUGAUUAAGCCCUUCGGGGUGUAAAGAUCUGUCAGUGGGGACGAAACUUGACGGUACCCACCGAGGAAGCACCGGCUAACUCCGUGCCAGCAGCCGCGGUAAUACGGAGGGUGCAAGCGUUGUCCGGAAUCAUUGGGUUUAAAGGGUGCGUAGGGGGAAUGCCAAGUCAGCGGUAAAAUCGCGGGGCUCAACCUCGCUCCGCCGUUGAAACUGGCGUUCUUGAGUGGGCGAGAAGUAGGCGGAAUGCGUGGUGUAGCGGUGAAAUGCAUAGAUAUCACGCAGAACUCCGAUUGCGAAGGCAGCAUACCGGCGCCCAACUGACGCUGAAGCACGAAAGCGUGGGUAUCGAACAGGAUUAGAUACCCGAGUAGUC
rnacentral:rRNA from 1 species